ACGCUCGACACCUACGGGAGCAGCAGUGAGGAAUAUUGGUCAAUGGGCGCUAGCCUGAACCAGCCAAGUAGCGUGAAGGAUGAAGGCUCUAUGGGUCGUAAACUUCUUUUAUAUAAGAAUAAAGUGCAGUAUGUAUACUGUUUUGUAUGUAUUAUAUGAAUAAGGAUCGGCUAACUCCGUGCCAGCACGCCGGACGGUAAUCUGGAGGCCGGGUCGUCGGACGAACGGC
rnacentral:rRNA from 1 species